AACGAACGCUGGCGGCAUGCCUAACACAUGCAAGUCGAACGAGACCUUCGGGUCUAGUGGCGCACGGGUGCGUAACGCGUGGGAAUCUGCCCUUGGGUUCGGAAUAACAGCGAGAAAUUGCUGCUAAUACCGGAUGAUGACGUAAGUCCAAAGAUUUAUCGCCCAAGGAUGAGCCCGCGUAGGAUUAGCUAGUUGGUGAGGUAAAGGCUCACCAAGGCGACGAUCCUUAGCUGGUCUGAGAGGAUGAUCAGCCACACUGGGACUGAGACACGGCCCAGACUCCUACGGGAGGCAGCAGUGGGGAAUAUUGGACAAUGGGCGAAAGCCUGAUCCAGCAAUGCCGCGUGAGUGAUGAAGGCCUUAGGUUGUAAAGCUCUUUACCCGGGAUGAUAAUGACAGUACCGGGAGAAUAAGCUCCGGCUAACUCCGUGCCAGCAGCCGCGGUAAU
rnacentral:rRNA from 1 species